CUUGACCGAGCCCAGCCACAACGGGCGGUUCUCCGGCCGGUCCUGGCCAUACGUGGCCAACAGGGCCUGCGCCUC
rfam:Streptomyces sp. NRRL F-6602 F6602contig53.1, whole genome shotgun sequence.